UACGAAGGGGGCUAGCGUUGCUCGGAAUCACUGGGCGUAAAGGGUGCGUAGGCGGGUCUUUUAAGUCGGGGGUGAAAGCCUGUGGCUCAACCACAGAAUGGCCUUCGAUACUGGGACGCUUGAGUAUGGUAGAGGUUGGUGGAACUGCGAGUGUAGAGGUGAAAUUCGUAGAUAUUCGGAAGAACACCAGUGGCGAAGGCGGCUCACUGGCCCGAUACUGACGCUGAGGCACGAAAGCGUGGGGAGCAAACAGG
rnacentral:rRNA from 1 species